CCUCAGCACCACAUAAAAAUAAAAGUAUUGUGUCCAUCUACAACUAAGAAAAAAAAAUACACAGGUGGUUUUACUGAGCCAUAAAGAAGAACGAAAAUUAUGGUAUUUUUAGGAAUAGAUCUAAAGAGAUACAAUGUUAAAUGAAAUAAGCCAGACUCCGAAAGUAUUGAAUGUUUUCUCUCAUAUGUGAAAGCUAGAGAAGAAGAAUGUCUUGAAGGCAGAAGGGAGACUAUUAGGGUUAAGGAAAGAGGCUAAGGUGGAGAUAUCGGGGAGUGAAAUUGAUCACAUUGUAUUAUAUGCAUGUAUAAAUAUGGUACAGUGAAAGUCAUUAUUCUGUACAAUUAUGUACCCAUAAAAAAG
rnacentral:lncRNA from 1 species